AUUUUUAAUUUAAUUAAAUUUUAUAAAAUAUUUUAUAAAAAUAUUUAUAUAGUGAAAUAUAAAAUAUUUAAUAAAAAUAAAUUUAUUUAUUUAAGUUGUUAAAAUAUUAAAUUAGACUAGGAUUAGAUACCCUAUUAUUAAUAUUAAUUUUAAAAAUUAAGAGUAUUAAUAGUUAUAUUCUUUAAACUUAAAGAAUUUGGCGGUAUUUUAGUCUAUUUAGAGGAAUCUGUUCUAUAAUCGAUAAUCCACGAAUUUAUUUACUUAAAAUUGUUUAAUUUGUAUAUCGCUGUCAUAAGAAUAUUUUUUUAGAAUAAAAAUUUUCUUAAUGUAUAAUUUUAUUUUAUGUCAAGUCAAGGUGCAGUUUAUUUUUAAGAAGAAAUGGAUUACAAUAAAUAAAAAUUAAAUGGAUAUUUUUUAUAGUUUAAAUUUUGAAGGUGGAUUUAAUAGUAAAAUUAACAAAUUUUUAAUUUGAUUUUAGCUCUAAAAUAUGUACAUAUCGCCCGUCGCUCUCUUUUUUAAAAAGAGAUAAGUCGUAACAUAGUAGAUGUACUGGAAAGUGUAUCUA
rnacentral:rRNA from 1 species